rnacentral:lncRNA from 1 species
CUGGCCGUGGGCAGCCGCGCGUUGCUCCAGCAGCAGGAGCUCCUCCUGGUGCCGCGCCAGCAUGAGCGCCGCGAUCUUCCGGUCACGCUCCGGCACCCCGCGCAGGCCGCGCUCUGCACGCACUUGACGCACGAUGCGCUCCACGUGCUGAGCGGUCUGCGGCGAAUGGCUCAGGUCGCCGAGGCUGAAGCUGCGGCCGGUGAUCGGAACCAGGGUCAGGGCAGACGGGCGGCCCGGAGCGUUGGUGGUGGAGGACGCCGACCCCGCUGGGCAGCUGUUCCUGGCCGAGGCCCGAGGCGGCCAGCGCAGCUCCCUCAAGCUUUCCCCACUGUAGGAUGACGACGAUGCGCCCGACUCGGAGCUGAGGGCGCCCUCACGCCGGCGGGACAGUGAGUCCAGCGAAUGGCUCUUCCUGCCUGUUCGAGAACCCGCUGGCGGAGGUUGAAAAGACGCCGCUUCUCCUCGCGCAUGAUGCGCUCGCGCUCGGCCCGGCAUUGCUGCAGCUUGGCGCGCCGCUCCGCCUCGUAGGCCUCAUACAGGCCGGUGGCCACCCGCAUGGAGCGGCCCGGAGCCUCUCGCACCAGGUCGGCCAGGGCCCGUGGCAGCAGCUCCACCGGCUUGACCGCACAGCGGGCGCAGGCCUCUAGCGAGCGGGGGCUGGUCAGCACGUAGCGGCUGCCCUCCGCCUCUGGGCAGUCGAAGUUGAAGAGGUCGAGGUGCAGCAGCGGGGACUGCUCCCGCCGCCCGCCUUCUGCGCCUGGGAAUCAGGGGGCACGGACGCCACGGCCUCGUCCCCUCCAGAGUCGCCGGGUUCCGCUCCUGCCUUCUCUUCUUCAGGCACUGGGUCCACCAUGGCUGAGCCCCGUCCUUUGUUGGAACUGAGAGCUCUUCCCCCCUCCUCAUCCAUAGUCACCCCAUCCCAACUUAAUCCGCUUUCGGAUUAGGCUCAGAGGCUUUGGUGGAACGUAAAUCAUAAAACCGAUGUAGGGAGGCGCUGGAGGAUUCCCGGGAGGAUUAGCGUAUUUGUUUGUAGCUUAGGCGGGCUACUGGGGAUGCAGCUUUGCAGGAACAAAAAAGC